UGGAUUUCGAGGUGCUUUUAGUGAGCUAGACUGCCACGUUGUUACAAUCUUGUGCUAGAGAUAAUAGAAUAUAGUCUGAUGGAAUCAUUGUAAAAGGACUCCAAAAAAAUGAUGAGAAAAGCCCAAAGUACAAUGAAAUCUUUGAUUAUGCUAUAUUAUCUCAAACACAAACCCAAAUGGUAUCAGAGCCUAAAGGAAAGCCAG
rnacentral:lncRNA from 1 species